rnacentral:misc_RNA from 1 species
GAAAUGAAAGAAAUCAUGUAACAGAUAAAUCUAACGAUGUUUGCGCAUUUUCUGUGUGGAUUUCAGACGACAAGUUUUCUGAUAAAGCUAAGACACUUGUACUUACAACAGAGACCUGAUGAUGAUGUUAUCUUGAUGAUUGUAGCAAAUUUAGGAAAGAAUACUUGGACGUAUCUCCAGCAAAUUACAUUCGUUGCAUCUCCAUUAUGUGGCUACGACUUAUCGAUCAUCUCUUCACUUGACAAGUAAACUAUUAUGUGAAACUACUCUACUGUAUGUAUAGAACAAGCAACUGGAUUUAGUGACAUAGCAGAUAGGAUGCUGUCAACAGUAUCUUCCAGUUCAAGAUUUUAAGAAAAAAGUUACCUUAAGACACAUUUAACAUCCCAGCGCACCAGCAAAAAGUUUUAUGCUCAGUUAUUCAUCACGUCUGCUCGGCGAUAUUUCAUCCGUCGAGAGCAUACACGAGAGAGAUGAUAUUAUGCUUUUGGUAUUUUUUCGCCAAGAAACACGUGAUCAAUUCUGCUGAGGAACAUUAUACGGAAGAUGAGGCAAUAACCCGAUGGAUGUUUCCUCUCAGAAUAUACAGCGCAUCCUGCGUAUUUCAUUUAAGAAAAAAAAAAUAAAAAUGACCUUCGGAUCCUCGAGGCUACGUCGAAAAAAGUCUACAAAAAAGAGAGAGAGAGAGAAGAAGAAGAAUGUGGGGAAAAAGCGUUACCGCCACGAGACGGCCGCUUCGGUGUCGUGUAAUUCCAGUUAGACCAACGUCUCUCCUACUCGGGAAGACGUUCAACGUGUACUGGGCUCUGGUUCCUAAAAUAUAAGCAGCGUGCAUAAAACGGAAGGAAAGGAAAUGAAGGCAGGAUGUGCCGGUUGCAAAAUCCCACAGUAAUUUCGCCGCUAUGAAAUUCUGCCCGUGUGCGGAGCGCGCAGGUCUCGUUAGAAAAAUUUCACUCGUCGUUUACGCGCAGCCCCGAGUCCUCUAAUUUCAGUGCCGAUUAAUUUCAGGUUUCUCGCUAGUCUCAGCUUUAAUUGGAACGCUGCCCGCAAAUUACGCGACCUACCGGCGAAGCGAGUGACUGAUGGAUGCCGAAGCGCGUGGCAUGCAACGAGAGGGACGAAAUCUCCUUUUCAUAUUGACCGACAUUACACAUCCCCGGCCGGGGGGGGGGGGCGUCCGGUGGGGGAUACGAGAAGUAUCCCACGAUACAGCUCGCGCCGGCGCGAUUAAAAUCGGCUCUUUCUCAGGCACCGUCGUUCGAGCUCAUGUGCAUGCACGUAGCGGUAUAAUAAUCAGCGGCGAAUAAUCAGCUCGGCGUGCAAUAAUCGAAGCGGCUUAACUUAACGCGUAGCGUUAGGUCAGCGCCGGUCAGCUAGCUACUUCAGCGAGAAAUAUUCGCGGAAUUCACGGCGAAAAUGGGCCAACCCUUCGAUGAGCGAAAAUAACGAACGAUUGAUGAGCGUUUAAUUAAUAAACGUCACUAAUCAGCCCGGCGUGCGAUAAUCUAAAGCGACUCGCCGGUUGGCUCUCCCCGCCAGCGGGAAAUAUUCGCGAAAUCCGGCAAAAAUGGCGUGAGUCCGAUCGGUGGACAAGUAACGAGCGAUUGAUCAAAGAUUCCGCGAAAUUCGCCGUCGAUUUAGCCGGGCUUUUCUCUCUCGCUGCGCGAAUGACGCGCUCGUUGAAUAGUAAUUUUCAGCGUAGCGCGACACGAUAUUGCCGGUAAUUCACUCACUCGAUCUCACGCUCCAGGAAGUCAACGCCGAUGGUCUUCUUGUAAUCCCUCGUGUAUGUGCCUUUGCAGAACCUUUGGAUCAUCGACGACUUCCCCACGGCGCCGUUGCCUACUAUCACCACCUGAGCAAGAAAUGUUAAAUCGCGCGUCAGAUGUACCGUUCAUUAAGGGGGCAUCGAGCAGGAGAGCAUCCAUUAAUCGAGAGAUCUGAGCGUCGCCUCGGCUUAUAUCAAACGCGGCGCUGAUCCUCCCGUCGGAGAGACGUCACCUCCGAGCGAGAUAAGAAGUCUCCGACCGAUGAGACCGCGGCUAGAAGAAGAACGGCCGUCGCGGUUCCGGCACACCCUGUACAAAUAAGAGGAAAGGACACAAACGCCCGACGGUGGAAGGUGCAUACAUACGCGAGAAUGAAAAUGCGAGCGAGUACCGUUACGGCAAUCGCCAGAUAAGCAGAGAGAUCACUGGAGCAGCACCGAGCUCUCGCGUACCGGCGAUUGGCGGCGCCCCGCGGCUCCUUCGCCUCUGUUUUGAAUUCGCCACCUUUCGUCCGUCAUUGCGAAGUGCCCGCGUGCUCGCGAGAUCUCCGGGCGAUCACACCAAAUGGAGAUUCUCGUCGGGGACGAGCCGCUGUGGCAGGCAUCGAAA